rnacentral:lncRNA from 1 species
GGACUACGGCUUCAUUCACCACGGCACAACCAGAGACAUUCUGAGACGCCAGAAGCGUGACCGGGGUAGAGGAUACCUAGGUUGCAGGAAAGCGCAGUUACCAAAUCGGGCCUCUGGAGCUCCCAGGAAACCCGCUGACAGCUCCAGGGGCGCGGGGCAGGCCUCGCUUUCGAAAGCAGCGCCACAGCGUUCCUAUUGGUCUUCCAUUCCAGCCAACCAGCAGGUUUCCCUGUGAUCCACCCCUCAACUAAGAGGCCAAUCAGAAGAGGGUAUGUGCUUCCCAUUGUGUACGACAGGUAUGUGCUUCCCAUUGCGUACGACCAAUUAAAGCUUAUUUCUGAUUGACACUUGGACAGCCAACCAGAAGGCCUGGUAAUCCGACCUCUUAUUAUGGUCACCAUCAUGAUCUUGGUCCCCAUCCUUGUUCCAUCCCUGCCAGGAAUCAAACGUAUGGAUCUGGGAGAAAUAACUAGACAAGGGGUCCAAGCUGGAGGGAUGGUGGCUCAAGAGACAAAGUAAUAUUUCCCCGAGUAUCAAAGCAGGUUGCCCAUGAGGUCAGAAGAGCAUGUAGUUGAGCUGUCAGUGCUGCUCUGGGCUUGACCUCAAGUAGUGACAAUCUGAAAAAGGUACUGGUUGUGAGAGCGCCUCAGAUAAUGUUGCUUUGUCACUAGGCUAAUCGCUUCAUCUUCCCCCAGAGUCAGAUGGGAAGAAACUUACAAACACUCAGGGCCUUUAAUUAAGUGUGAUGGUUUAUUUAUGGUGAAGAGUGGUCAGUAUCCUCAAUUAGCAGCAAUAGAUACUGCCUCUAGAACGACCAAAAGUAAAUGUGUGGGGAAACUAAAACCUGACAGUGGUAUCAUUACAACUAAAUGUACCAGAAAAUGCAAAUUAAAACCAUGAAAUAUGAUUUUCACCAAAUAGUUUGGAUAAUUAUCAAUUAUUUAAAUUUUUACCACUUUUGGCAAGGAAAUUUUUGUGAACAGAAUUUCCCCACUUUGGGUGGGGAAACAUUCUCAUUUGCUGUCACUGGAAGCCUAAACUGCAUUCUUUAAGAAAGCAAUUUAGCUUUAGCUAUCAAAACGUAAAAUGAGGCCAGGCGCAGUGGCUCAUGCCUGUAAUCCCAACACUUUGGGAGGCUGAGGCAGGAGAAUCGUUUGAAGCCAGGAGUUCGAGACCAACUUGGGCAACAAAGUGAGACCACCCCCCUCCCCCAUCUCUACACACACACACACACACACACACACACACACACACACACAGUAAAAGACACACACACAGUAAAAGGCACACACCUUUUGACCCAGCAAUUCCUUCUCUCAAAAUCUAUCCUACAGAAAUACUUACACACUGGAGCAAGGUUAUAUGUAGCAUUAUUUAUAAUAGUGAAUGAUUGGAGACAAAUUUGCAUCAAUAGGUGAAUCAUUAAAUUGUGAUACAACCAUACCAUGAAAUGUUAUGCAGUCAUUUUUUAAAUGAGGUAAAUUUCCAUGUAUUAAUGCAAGAGGAGGUCCAGAAUACAAUGCAAAGUGAAAAAAGUUGCAAAACAGUACAUAUAAUAUCCCAUUUCAUUUAAAAAAAACCUAUAUACAAAUGUGUGGGUAUUCAUAUAUGUAUAUAUGUGUAUAUUAAUAUAUAAACACAAACAGAACAACAUCUGGGAAGACACACACCAAAUUAAGUUAUUCUUGGAGAAUGGGAGUGGUGAGAGGGACUAAGGAAAAAUCUUUCACUUUUUACUUUACACAUUUAUGUUUUGCUUGAAUUUUGUUGGCUAACAUUAAUAAUUUUUGAAUUUUUAUCACAAUAAAACAUUUUAACAAAAUAGGCACUUUUGUAAUCAGAUCAAUAGAGUUAUAAUGUAUGUGUUUUAAAUAAAAAUAGCUCCAUGGGGGCUGGGCGUAGUGGCUCACACCUGUAAUCAAUCCCAGCACUUUGGGAGGUCGAGGUGGGCAGAUCAUACGGUCAGGAGUUUGAGACCAGCCUGGCCAAUAUGGUGAAACCCCGCUUCUACUAAAAAUACAAAAAUUAGCCGGGCGUGGUGGCAUGCCCCUGUAGUCCCAGCUACUCUGGAGGCUGAGGCAGGAGAAUCGCUUGAACCUGGGAGGCACAGGUUGCAGUGAGCCAAGAUCACACCACUGCACUCUGGCCUGAGCGACAGAGCAAGAUUCCCUCUCAAAAAAUAAAUAAAUAACGCCAUGGGGUGACUACUUCAUUUUAAAAUUUUAGCUAGAAGACUUAGGAUACAAUUAGAACAACUGUAAACCAAAUCAACUCUGAGUUUCAAUGGGGGUAUACUCAUGACUUGAUAUAACAGGAUGUGGGCAAACAAAAUCUAAUCAGGAUAAUCGUUCAUUUCUGAAAGAGAAAACUACACUACAGCAAACUCCAUCAUAUAAAGGAAAAAUUGUGCUUUCACUUUUUUGGUGGCAUCACCUCCAAUGUUUACUCAACUCCUUGGCAAGGGUGGGAAAUCAUAAAAAGCUAGAGAUUUAAGAUACCUCAGAGAUCAUUUGGUCAAAAUCCCUCAUUUAGUCGAAAUCCCUCAUUGUAUAGUUCAGAAAACAGGCCUAAAAUGGUGAAGCAAUUCAACUAAGGUCCUAUAGCUAGCUAUAUAGCCAAUUUUAGAAGUCAGGUUUCUAUUCCAGGUCUGGUACUCUUUCUGUUUCUUUUCAGAUCUUCCUGAGUCUUCAGUAUGAUGAAAUUAUGAAAUAUUUUUAAAUUUUAUGAUUAGACAUCCCUAUAUUUAAAUGUUACAACAAAAAUGCCUAACAAAAUUAAAAUGUACAUGCCUCCAUUAGUACAGAUGAUGAAAAGUUCACUGUAUCUAGACAAAAAAUAUUAUUGGUAUAACAUUCUCUUGAAAAGUAAUACAUAAAUCAGGCCAGGUACAGUGGCUUACGCCUGUAAUCCCAGCACUUUGGGAGGCCGAGGCAGGCAGAUCACUUGAGCUCAGGAGUUCGAAACCAGCCUGGCCAACGUGGUGAAACCCCGUCUCUACUAAAAAUACAAAAAUUAGCCGGGUAUGGUGGUGCCACGCUUGUAGUCCCAGCUACUCGGGAAGCUGAGGCAGGAGGAUCGCUUGAACCUGGGAGGCAGAGAUUGCAGUGAGCUGAGAUCACGCCACUGCACUCCAGCCUGGACAACACUGUGAGACUCCAUCUCAAAAAAUAUAUAUAUACAUAUUUUUUUUCUGUGAAUCUGAAUGUAUUUUACUGUUUACCUAAGAACUACUGUUUUAUCCCAAUUUCUAACUGUUCUUCAACUGGCACUGCCUCUUAACCCUUUAUCUUUAGUUUCUUUAUAUCAAGCAGUUGAUGACCUAUAUAAAAACACUUAAAACCACCACAGGAAACACCUAUUUAAAGGAAGCCUGCAGUGAUUUAAAGAAUUCUUUUUUGAUGUUGACAAUUAUCCCUGGUUUGUCUGUUUUAUAAGGAAUGAGUUCUCUGUUUUUAAAUGCAUAGACAGACAGGGUAUGGACAGAAGAAAUAAAAUAGGCAACAACUGGUUUUUGUACAAACAAGGUAAAAAAAGAAGAUAAGAAUGAGGGGUGGUGGGUGGUCAGGAAGGGAGUGGCAGAGAACCACAUGCUAAAUUAGUCACUAAGACUUUAUAUUUCAAAAGUAAACUCAAAUACUAAGAUAUAUAAAUGGAAUAACAACUACCUAACCUUCAGGCUGUAAUUAAAGUGUUGUCCAAUUUAAGACUCUACAACUUGAGGACAUGUGAGGGCCUUGGAGAGAUUUCAGAAUAAUAAAAAGAUAAAAGGGUUAAAAAUGAGCCAAGUAAGGAAAAAUUAGAACUUAUUAUAUCUAAGAAGAGAAUACUAAGGGUGACUCAACAGUUUUCAAGGAUAUGAAGAAAUAUCCAUUUCAGUGAGCAGCUGUUCUACAUUUCCACAAAAGAAAGUAAUUUUACUUAAAUUAUUACAGCAUAUAUUUCAACAUAGAAAAAAGUAUGCUUCUCCUCAGUGUUAAUGGGUAAGAGGGUUUGGAUUUAGGAUUCUUGCCUGGCCCAGUUAAUGUGCCAAAAUGGCCAAUUUGACAUCCAAGGGAGAUUUACCUGGCCUGAUAUUUUUAAAAAAGAAAAAGACUGGACAACUAACCAGAUGUGCCUGAAUCUCUUACUCUGUCUCUAGCAUUUUCCUGCCUUGUAUAGACAUCUCUUCAUUUUGUUUUGAGGCUGGAGUGCAGUGGUACAAUCAUGGCUCACUGCAUGGCUCACUCCACAACCUCCUGGGCUCAAGCAAUCCUCCGGCUUCAGCCUCCCAAGUAGCUGGGACUAUCAUGUGCCACCAUACCUGGCCAGAUUUUUAAUUUUUUUUUUUUUUUUUUUUUGUAGAGAUGAGAUCUCACUCGGUUGCCCAGGCUAGUCUCCAACUCCUGGGCUCAAGCAAUCCUCCCAAAGUGCUGGGAUUACAGGCAUAAGCCACCACGCCCAGCUAAACAUCUCUUCAACUGAACUCUUAAGGUCUACGAAAAAAGAGAAUGUAAUAUCAUAUUUUACUUGUACCACAACCACUCCACCCUAUCCCCAGCCCUGCUGUUAGCAUAGGACCAGACACACAGAAGACUAUUAGCACUUGUUAAAUGAGUUGUCAUCUGUCCAAAUUUUUGUUAACACUUUAUUUUAUAGCUGCUUUUCUAUUUAUUCUGCAGUUCAUUCUCUAACACUGCUGCCUAUGAAGGUUGCAUCUCUCUUUACCCUUCCUUUCCUUUAUUUCACAGAAAUACCCAUUCUUCCCUAUCCCCUCAGAUAUUUUUAGUCAUCUCAUUCAUGAACUACCAAAAACCUCAACUUCCUCACAGCCCCCACUCUUCUACUUAGAACCAAAUACUGCUAAGUAACAUUAAUUUCCUUUUUUUUUUUCUUUUGAAAUUUUUUGUAGAGACAGUGUCUCACUCUGUUGCCCAGGCUAGUCUCAACCUCCUGGGCUCAAGCAAUCCUCCUGCCUCAGCCUCCCAAAAUGCUGGGAUUACAGGCAUGAGCCAACCACAUUCAGCCUUAAUUUGCUAAUGUUUUGAACACAUCACUUUCUGUACCUUCUUUCCAUGUUGAGCUACAUCAAAACUAGCUUUGAUUUUCUAAAUGACAAGACUGCUACCUCCCCUCAUUCCAACCCUUGCCAAAACCCACUCUGUGUAGGGAAACCAUUUCAGAGCUCACUGGUCAGAUGAAUAUCCACCCACCAAAAGUUCUGAGAGUUCACCCACCUUUCUGCCUGUGUCAAAUUUAUUUGGGAAAAAAAACAGUGUCAGUUGAGAUAAAAAGCCUAUAGAAGAAAUGUUUGUUGGUGUUGUGUGGGUGUGUCAGAGGAUGAACACAUGCAUGUGUGUUUAUGUACAUGUAUUACAUAUGCAGACACACACAUACACACAUACACACACACAUAUAUAAUAAAUAUAUUCUGCCCAAAUUAGCACAAACCCACAAGCUUAAAAACCAAAUCUGCUAAAUCUGACUCAAACAACAGGUACUGAGCCUACAGCUACUUCCUGCAAGCAGAUGCAUUACCUCUGUGACAAAGUCAGUUGUGAGUUGCAAAAAGGAUAGGUAAAUAUCAUUAAGAUAAGUUAAGAUUCUGCUUUCUAAAAAAAUUUAAAUGCAAAACAUUACCUCAGGACACUGGCCACACUGUAUGAUUUCUGCAUAAUACCCAGCAUAUCCUAGACACUAAAGAAUACUAAAUUUACAACUUAAGCAGGAAAACAGAGGCUUGCUUCACAGUGGUUUAAUAUGAACAGAGUUGAAUAUGACAUUGUCUGACAGAAGAAUGAAC